AUGAAAAAUUGAGCUAAAGGGCCUGGGAAGCAAUUGUAAUAAUGGAAAAAAUUCUGUAAAUUUUGUGGAAAAUUUUGUGAUUUCGGAAAAAUGGAGUAUGUUUGGAAAAAUUGUUAUGUCCGAAAAAUUUUUUUGACCCCUAAAAUGGUACACUGACCGAAAAUUUUUUGGCGACGGGGGGGGGGUCGCCAGAAUAUUCCGGAAAAAAAUUUUUUUCAUCUCAACCGUUUGGUUACAUUCUUUCUGGAGUGAGUGCCCCCCCAGAAAUUGAGAGCCAGCUCCGGGCUUGGUCACAGAUGAGGUAGAUACAGAUGUGAAUCUUCCGUCAAAUUAUGUCACACCGAUUAAAUAAACUUUAAAAUUGUAU